UUCUUUGGUAGCCAUAGAGGAGAGGGUACACCCGACCCCAUUCCGAACUCGGAAGUUAAGCUCUCCAUCGCCGAUGAUACUGCAUAACGUCAUGUGGGAAAGUAGGCCGCUGCCAAAGAU
rnacentral:rRNA from 1 species